ensembl:lncRNA
GUAAGUGUGUGUGUGUGUGUGUGUGUGUGUGAUGAUAGAUUUGGAGGGCACCAUAUGCUGUGCGAACAUAUUUUGUUGUUUUUGUCACUUCCUCUCUGCAGGAUAACAGUUCUUUUUUGUUGAGGUUGUAAAGGAGUAACACCUAAUGCUAAGGUGUGUGGUGAAUGUGGAAAGGUGUGAGGGUUUCAUUUAGGCAGUUUUUUUGAUCAAUUUUGUGUAUGAUGUGUUUGUUCUGGUGAAAGUUGUUUGCUCUGGCUUAAGCCUUUUGUGUCGCUGUGACAAUCUUGCAAGAGGUGCAAAGGCUUGUUCUCACCUUCGCAGCGAUGUAUCUGGCGGCACAAAUCGUGAGUGAAAUCAUGAUUUUAGUUUGUGAGAAAACAUGUUGGUGUCGGCAGGGAAGCAGGAUGUGUGUCAAGGACCUCGAAGAGUUCAUGAAUAUGCAAAUGUCAUAGUAUCAAAGCAAUGCUCAAUUGUUAAUGACAAAUCUCAGGAUUUUGUGACACAGCUCGAUUUUUCAACUUGACUUCUAGUUGAUGUUCAGUUACCUGUAAAUGGUCCACGUGGAGAGCUCCACAAAGCAGCGUAGCGUUUGACCACACCAUGUGCGGCCCCUUAGGAAUGCAAGCAUCUUGGAGUGCAAGCCGCAACAGGUUUAACCCACAUCGCCCUGUCAUCUGUGUCCCUGUCACAGGAGAACAAAGAGGGAUGACGAAAGCAACAACGGACAUUGAUGCAUCGUUAAGAAAUGCAAUUAAGAAUGUUUCAUUUCUGUUUUUUUUUUUUAUUUUUUUUUAAAAAUCUGAUGUAAGGACAUAAAUCGGAGUGUGCAUUUCAGCUAGCAUUAAAGAUCAUCCGUCACAUUUGUUUAGUCACAGAAAGUGCUGUGCAUGCAGAUCUGAGCACAAGCUUUGGUGUAAUUUAAUCAUUUUGAGCUCUUAAUUACACACCCAUACUGAUCUGAUGGAACCCCAUGUCACUGUGUGCAUUAUUUGUUAUUGAAAUGGCUCGAGUACAUUGAGCUCAGCAGCAGCAGGUCAGCGAGCUUUAAUUACAGUAUGAAUUAUUAUGAGUAUUAUUUAUUAGAUUGCCAAUGUGAGCACAGAUGUACCAUGAUAAACACCUAGUAUAUGCCGUAUUGCUGGUACAUCUGGUACCUCUGGUACAUCUACCAUACACAGUGCCCUCCCCUGAUAUUGGCACCUUAUAAGCAAAGAAGGCUGUGACAAAUUGUCUUUAUUGUUUAACCUUUUAUUUUAAAAAAAUUCCCAAAAUUCUCUGCUCUCAUGGAUAUCAGACAAUUGCAAACAAAAAAACAGGUUAUUUAAAAAAAAAAAAAAUCUUUGUUAAAUAUAGGUGUGCAACAAUUAUUGGCACUCUUUUAGUCAGUACUUUGUGCUAUGUCCAUUUGCCAAGAUAACAGCUCUGAGUCUUCUCCUAUAAUGCCUGGUGAGGUUGGAGAAUACAUGGCAAGAGAUCUGAGACCGUUCCUCCAUACAGAAUCUCUCCAGAUCCUUCACAUUUCGAGGUGACACUGGAGUACUCUCCUCUUCAGUUCACCCCAUGGGUUUUCUAUGGGUUUCAAGUCAGGGGACUGGGAUGGCCAUGGCAGGAUCUUGAUUUUCUGGAAAUGGUACUUUUAUCCAAAGAGUCGGAUCAUUUUUGUUUGUAAAACCAGGCAAAAUAGCAUUGGGUUAUUCCAACAUAACUGCCUUCCUGACAUUCUCUUGAAAUUCAGACAACAGUGUGUGUGUGUGUGAGUGUGACCUGUACACCUGUGGAGGCCUCACCCUCCGGAUCAAACAAAGGCCUGUAGACUGUGCAGUCACUCAUGGGCAUGUUGCUCAAAGUCCACACACACACACACAUACACACACACACACACACACACACACACACACACACACACACACACACACACCUACCCAUACACAUAUACACCGACAGGUUAGUCGGGGAAGCUCAGGGCAGAGAGGUGCGGCCUUCGGAUUAGUCAAAGUGACACGGGUGCUGGACGGUCUCAGCUCUGCUGAGCUUGCUGUCUCUGUGCCGGUGUUGAGAUGUGGCCCAGAAAAGACAAAGGGCACCUGGGAAAGUUUGGUUUGGGGCUAUCUCCAUUCUCACAUUCUCACAUUACAUUAUGUAAUUAGUCUGUGUGGUCACCAAAUGGUGUUGUAUGAACUGUGCAGCUUUCAACGGACGGUGUAUGAGUGUGUGUCUGUGUGUGUGUGUGUGUGUGUGUGUGUACGGGUUUGGAGGGUGUUGAUGGGGAAGUAGGGGUGGUGCCGGUCCCAGGAUGCUCACCUGUAAUUCUCCCUCCCCUGACGAGAGCCAGUGAAAGGAAUUUACCUAAACUGGAGAGAGACAUGUUAGUGUAGCUGGAGCUGGAAGAAGGAGUGGAUCUGGUGCAGCAGCAUUGUUGGCAUUCAAAGUCACUGCUGUGUUGAAGAACAGUCCACCAAACAAAAACCAGUGGUGUUGCGGUUGCAAACUGACACUGAUGAAGCCCUAGAGGACAAUUAACACACACUGUGCAUGGUUUGUCUAAUAGAGUGGGCAGUAAGAACCAGAAGGUCACUCUGAUGGAACUACAGAGGUCCUGCACAAGUGGACAAAUCCUAAAUUUUCUAGCGAUGCCAGAGAAAAAAUGAAAGCUCCAGUGUGCACAGAAAUGGACUAAUCUAAAGAGUGGUAGCUAAGGGUCACAGGGAGCCUGGAGCCUAUCCCAGUGGACUUGGGGCACAAGGCAGGGGGACACCCUGGAUGUCAGGUGUGUCAGGAUGUCAGGUGCCAACCCAUUGUAGGGCACAAUCUCACACACACUACAGACAAUUUGGAAAUCAAUCUUUGGACUGGCGGAGGAAACCCGAGUACUCAGAGAAAACCCCCAAUGCACAAGGAGAACAUGCAAAGUCUGCGCACACAGGGCGGAGGUGGGAUUCGAACCCCAAUCCUGAAGGUGCGAGGCAAAUGUGCUAACCACUAAGCCAUGAUUAUUAUCCAUUUAAGUUUCUAAAGUAGCACAUUGUAUGUGUACUGUACCGUUAAUAAACAGUCAACUAAUCUUUUGCGAAUGUUCUGUGGCUCCAUACAAGUUUGAACUCUUUAGCAUGAAUGCCAAGUGCUACAUCAACAGAUCAUAACACAUAGGCAUCUUUGUAGAAAAAAAAAGUGAUCAGAACCUCACACAUGGUCGAAAGUUAACCUUUAGACAACAGAAACACACAGAGAAGACACGACUAUGAUCAUCCUUGAGUGGUCUAGACGGAGCUUGGUUUUUACCCAGUUGAAUGUUUCUGGAAAGACCUGGAGGUUCCUCUAAACAGACUGGAGGAAUAUCCUUGAAUUCAGGUGUGCCAAGCUCAUAGCAUCAGACUCAAAAAGACUGUAAUUACUGCCAAUACUGCUUUAACAAUGCAUUGAGUAAAGGGUCUGAAUAUUUGUUUCAAAUAUAUCUUUCACAGAUUCAGAAGGAAAAAAAAUGAAUGCAGUACAUUUCAGAGAAAAGAGUAAUGUAGGUGGAUACACCGUGCAUGUGUGUACAGUACCCUACAGCUGCAGAAGCACUUAACUUGCACUGCUGAUGAAGGACUUUUGUCUGAAACAUCUUGAUUCUCUGGUAACCUUGAGUACUUCAUUGAACUUUUACUACUUAUACCAUGUACUAACAAGGCUAUUUAAGGUCUUUGCUAUGGCUCUGUUGCUUUUCCUACUUGAGUUGUAUUUAGUAAUGUUGACCCUGAGUGUCUCAACAUGUUUUCCUGAUAAAUUAUUUUUUUUUUAAACAAAAUGUCUUUAUUUAUGCUAAUGAAUGCACACUGUUUUGUUCAUAUUCAUAAAUACGAGUGUGUGUAAAUCUGAAGUGGAUAUAUGCACUGG